ensembl:lncRNA
AACCAGCAUUUACCAUGUUGCAACAUUGUUCAAUAUAUUUAUCUAAUUUAGGCAACAAUUGUUUUAGACCAAUUUAUGCUAUGACAUCAUCUAUUCUCCUUAAUAACUUUUGAGUCUAUAAGUCAAAUUACAUGGGAGGGAAGAUGUCUCAAAACCGUUACAUUCCUACAGUAUUCAUGGAAUAGACAGACAUGCCUAUUGAAACCAUCUUCUCCAAUUAAAAAAUGCAUCAUUAUGAGAUCUAGCCUAAGACAAUCUACUCCUACACUUACUCUCAAAACAAAUAUCCUUAAGGAAACGUAGCUACUCUGAUCAUGCCAUUCAUGGCAUUGCUUUGUGGAUAAUGGAAUCCAGGCAGGUACACAUCAGAGGAAGAUACUAACACAGUUUGAUGAGACAGUAAUUCAGUGAAGCAGAUACUCAGCCUGCAUGGAGCAUCCACAACAGCGUCACUUGACACUUGUUGUAGAUAAUCACAGAGAUAAGUCUGAGCUUUAUAUUACUAUGUCAGGUGGCAAUAACAGUUGAUAGACUAAAGUGCUUAGAGCAGAAGAUGAGCAUGAGAGUUGUCUUUUUGAUAGCCCAUUGCAUAACAGAGGCUAUGUCUUCCAUCCUAUGAACGGCCUCUGACUAACCAGACACCUUGUUAAAGAAUCACCAUUGGUGUUAGAACUCAACCUUCUUCACAUGGUGGACGGGCAGGAAACUACCAGAAAUGAAAAGGCAAUUGAAUGAUACCUGCCUGAUUCCUCAGCGACCUAGAGCUCUGUCAAGAUGCUUGCAUGACCCUUUCAUAGUUGGAUCUGAUCCAAUUGUAUUCUAGACAUUCCAGGACUAUUACCUGUUGCUCAAAGACAGGACUGCAUUGUAAGUAGCUCCUCUGUUCAGGCAGAGGGUUGCUGCUGAUAGUUGUGUUUAGUAGUAGUGUCUAACAGUGGCAAAAAUUCUCCACUUCUGAGGACUUUGGGUAAUGAUUAAUCUCCACUAAAUGAAGAUCAGGUUGCCUUGGAUGUUUAAGUGCCGGUGCAUUUUAUGAUCAUUGGAGCUUUCUCAGAUUGUAGAAAUUCAUUUCUGUUGAUAGAAUAAAUUGCCAAAAC